AUUUAUAGUGAUGUGUUUAGCCACCAUGAACGUGCCCGAUCCCGUCUGAUCUCGGAAGCUAAGCAGGGCCGGGCCUGGUUAGUAUUUGGAUGGGAGACCACCUAGGAAGACCAGGUGCUGUAGGUG
ensembl:rRNA 5S_rRNA 5S ribosomal RNA